rnacentral:rRNA from 1 species
UGGGGAAUCUUGCGCAAUGGGCGAAAGCCUGACGCAGCAACGCCGCGUGAACGAUGAAGGCCUUCGGGUCGUAAAGUUCUGUCAGGGGGGAAGAAGAUCUGACGGUACCCCCGGAGGAAGCCCCGGCUAACUACGUGCCAGCAGCCGCGGUAAUACGUAGGGGGCAAGCGUUGUCCGGAAUUACUGGGCGUAAAGGGCGUGUAGGCGGUCAAUCAAGUCAGGUGUGAAAUUCCAGGGCUCAACCCUGGACGUGCACUUGAAACUGGUUGACUUGAGUGCAGGAGAGGAAAGUGGAAUUCCCAGUGUAGCGGUGAAAUGCGUAGAUAUUGGGAGGAACACCAGUGGCGAAGGCGACUUUCUGGCCUGUAACUGACGCUGAGGCGCGAAAGCUAGGGGAGCA